GAUGAAGAACGUAGCGAAUUGUGAUAAGUAAUGUGAAUUGCAGAAUUCAGUGAAUCAUCGAAUCUUUGAACGCACAUUGCGCCCGCCAGUAUUCUGGCGGGCAUGCCUGUUCGAGCGUCAUUUCAACCAUCAAGCCCCCGGCUUGUGUUGGGGACCUGCGGCUGCCGCAGGCCCUGAAAAGCAGUGGCGGGCUCGCUGUCACACCGAGCGUAGUAGCAUACAUCUCGCUCUGGGCGUGCUGCGGGUUCCGGCCGUUAAACCACCUUCAUAACCCAAGGUUGACCUCGGAUCAGGUAGGAAGACCCGCUGAACUUAAGCAUAUCAAUAAGCGGAGGA
rnacentral:misc_RNA from 1 species